UUUUGAGCUAAGAUCAACAAUUUAUUUAUUAGUUAUUGAAGUUUAAUUCUGUUAUAAAAAUUACUAGGAUUUAUUUAGGAUUUGGUUUAGGAUAUAGGAUUUAGGAUUUGAUUAGGAUUUGAUUUAGGAUUUAGAGUUUAAUUAGGGUUUGAUUUAGGAUUUAGAGUUUGGUUAGGAUUUCAUUUAGGAUUUAGAGUUUGGUUAGGAUAGGGUUUAGGAUUUGAUUGGGAUUAGGUUUAAGGUUUGUUUAUGAUUUGGUUAGGAUUUGGUUUAAGGUUUAGAGUUUGGUUGGGGUUUCAUUUAGGGUUUAGGUUUUGGUUAGGUUUUGGUUUAGGAUUUGGUUGGAAUUUGAUUUAAAUUUUUUUUAGGAUUUGGUUUAGGAUUUAGUGUUUGGUUUAGGAUUUGGAUAGAAUUUGGUUUAGGAUUUGGUUUAGGAUUUGGUUAGGAUUUUGUUAGGGUUUGAUUUAGGAUUUAGGAUUUGGUUUAGGAUUUAGGGUUUGAUUUAAGAUUUAAGAUUUUAUUAGGGUUUUUUUAGGCUUUAAGAUUUAAUUAGUUUUAGCCUAAAGUUUGAAUGAAGUCCAAUAGGAUUUUAAUUAGGAUUAAAUUAAGAUUGAAUUGAGAUGUAUUUGAAAUAUAUUUAUAAUUAUUCUAAUAUUUCUUUAAGAUUUCUUAUUAUUUCUUUGAAAUUUCUUUGAA
rnacentral:lncRNA from 1 species